rnacentral:other from 1 species
GGCGUUAGUGUGAGUGUCGUACAGCCUCCAGGCCCCCCCCUCCCGGGAGAGCCAUAGUGGUCUGCGGAACCGGUGAGUACACCGGAAUUGCCGGGAAGACUGGGUCCUUUCUUGGAUAAACCCACUCUAUGCCCGGCCAUUUGGGCGUGCCCCCGCAAGACUGCUAGCCGAGUAGCGUUGGGUUGCGACAGGCCUUGUGGUACUGCCUGAUAGGGUGCUUGCGAGA